rnacentral:rRNA from 1 species
AUUGAACGCUGGCGGCACGCCUAACACAUGCAAGUCGAGCGGUAACACGAUCUGUAGCAAUACAGAUUGAUGACGAGCGGCGGACGGGUGAGGAAAACGUAGGAACCUGCCCUUGAGAGGGGGACAACCAAGGGAAACUUUGGCUAAUACCGCAUAAUCUCGAGAGAGGAAAGUUGCUCGCAAGGGUGACACUCGAGGCGGGGCCUGCGUCCGAUUAGCUAGUUGGAGAGGUAAGAGCUCCCCAAGGCGAUGAUCGGUAACUGGUCUGAGAGGACGACCAGUCACACUGGGACUGAGACACGGCCCAGACUCCUACGGGAGGCAGCAGUGGGGAAUAUUGGACAAUGGGGGCAACCCUGAUCCAGCGAUGCCGCGUGGGUGAAGAAGGCCUUCGGGUUGUAAAGCCCUUUAGGUUGGGAAGAAGGGUAUGGGUGGAAAUACUCAUACUUUGACGGUACCGACAGAAUAAGCACCGGCAAACUCUGUGCCAGCCGCCGCGGUAA